UACGUAGGGGGCUAGCGUUGUCCGGAUUUAUUGGGCGUAAAGAGCGUGUAGGCGGCUAGGUAGGUCCGUUGUGAAAACUCGAGGCUCAACCUCGAGACGCCGGUGGAAACCAUCUAGCUAGAGUCCGGAAGAGGAGACUGGAAUUCCUGGUGUAGCGGUGAAAUGCGCAGAUAUCAGGAGGAACACCGGUGGCGAAGGCGGGUCUCUGGGCAACAACUGACGCUGAGGAGCGAAAGCGUGGGGAGCGAACAGG
rnacentral:rRNA from 1 species